UUAGCAUGGGAAUCCAACUCUUUAACAGUGUAAAAAACUCAGUAUGCAUGAAAUAGCAUUUCACCCCCCCUUUAAUUAAAUGUUUGGUCAAUAUUAAACAAGGAUUUGAUCAUCCUGUUACAACAGCAAUUAUCAGGCCUUUGGCACCCUUUGCAGGUAUUUGUAAUAAUAGCCUAUGUAAUGUACAUAAAUUGUUAAUUUUGUAUUAAAUUAUGUAUUUUAAAAGUUUUAUGGAAUCAGUUAACCAAUCUUUAUUGCCUAAUUGUUUUUUAUAAUGCAUUUUAUGGCAAGGUUGUUCGCUUAGAUCUGUUUUUAUUACCACAAAAAUAUUAUCUGAAUACUUAGUAAAUUAUUAUUUGAAGUAAUUUGAAGUAUCAAAGCCAUGGUUCAUUUCCAUUGCUACAAGAACCAUUUUUUUUUGUAGUAGUAGUAAAAUUAUGGUUAUUAUUUGUAAGGGAACAUGGAAACUUUAAGAGAAUAUUAAGGCAGAUGAAGUCUUGUGUAACCAGAUCUUCAGGCUGAAGGUCUGGUAUUCAUGGCAGCUUUCAUUGACCGACAUGUCCAACAACCAAUCACAGUUUUCGUUUUGUUUCGUUCAUCGUCAUGUUUCGAGGCAUGGAAAUGUCGCCACAACAACAGACCCGUGUGUAAAACUCUCUGACAUAUUUGAAAGAUUCUAUGCCGUGACCUUUAAAUAUUUCACAUGUAUGAAUGUGUCACAUCGAUGUAUUAUGCAAUAUCUUCACAAAAUGCUGAUCAUCAACCUUGCCCAUCAAAGAAACAAAACCCUCAAACACGAAAGGUUUGAAACAGUCCUCAGUAUCAUCGGCCAGAUCAGAGAAAGUUGGAGUUAGACAGCUAGACAUGGUUUUAAGCAAUACCACUGCUCAAGACUGACUUACCACAUCCUGUCGUGUUUGUUUUCUCUUCAGACUAUAGCAGUCAGCCGUAGUGUGUCCUACUUUAUGACAGUAACUGCAUUGUCUCCUGAAUUUCAACCCUGAAGACUUUACUUACAUAACAUUUUCUUUUCUGGUUCCGACUGGUGUCUAACAAACACAGUUUUAUGCAUCAAGGUGUAUUCAUCUGCAAAAUAGCAGCCUGUUGCACAGUAGUCACUUUUUGUUUGUUCAAAUAAUUCUGGAACAGUUUAUAAACUCAAUAAAAAAAUCAAUAAGUAAAAGUCUGUGCAAAGAAUUAUAAUCACUAACCUUGAAUGCUCUAAUCCAUCUGUCAAAUAAUACACACUUUUCCCAAGCAAAUUCAACAAAUGUUUCAGAAGCGGAUUUUUUAGUUACUCAAAAACAUUGUCUAUAGUGCUCCGGCACCAACUCGUAUGCUUGCAUACUUUACUGCCUCAUUUUAAAUGCUCUCCUCCAAAGAUAGUGAAGCACACACUUCCUAAGCUUUCCCAGUGAGCUUACACAUUUUAAAGCCAUAGCUAUGCUCAAAAGCCUGAAAGUAUGCUUCAACCACUUUCUCUCGAAAAGGCGGCACUAAGGAAAUAUUAUUUGCCACAUUAAAUGGCACUGCUAACGGAGAAUCAUUCGAUACAGACAUCGACGUGGACACAGGAUUAUUACAGAAAUCAGUAGAAACAGCAACAGAGUUCACAUGACCAAUAGGAUCUACAUAUGAACUACUUUCUAACCUGGUCUCUUCUUGUUUUACCUGUAAUUCCAACUGUCAUAACCAAAUUCUAGUAUCUGCCUCGAUAUGAUGUUUAUCCAAUUGAUGUUGAAACUCAUCUCUUUGUGCUUGAGCUUUUUCGUAGGAGGUAAUGGAUAUAUCAGUAGAAAGUAACAAAGGCUAAAAUUUUGGCAUAGACAAUGAUGACCUUACCUUGCGAGCAUCUAAUGGAGCAACAGGACCUACUAGAGACUCUAUAACAGCAGCUGAUGGUUCCUCCUGUUCUGUUAAUUCAGCAUCAGGUAACCCCCCUUUUUCAAUAAGACCAGCCAGCAAACAAGCCUUUACCACCUUUUUAAGUAAUCCUCUAGAAACAAGUAUCUCAUAAUGCUGAGCAAAAAUGAUCAAAUCAUCCUUUGGAUAGUUGUCAAUUUUUUCAAAACUUGGUUGCUUAAUAAAGUUUUUCAUCUCAAACGUUGCCAUUACUUACUGCUGCGUUUACAUAAGAAUCAAACAAGCACAUCUCAGACUUAACUUCCUACUCACAAUACUAGCUACAACCUUCCUAGUGUUCAGAGGAUUAACAGUUAAGAGAUAAAUCUCUUCCCUGGAGUACAUCCAAAAAUAAAACAAAAAACUCAAAACAAAAAAACAGUAAUCUGAUGGAAAGUCCCCACUAAACAUGGUCAGGUUACUCUGACUAACCAAAGCGUUUACUUACUUCAUCCCUACAAUGCAAUCCAAUUAUCAGGACGAGCCCCCGUUUUAUGUUACAACCUCUCAUUAAAUGGUUCAGAAAAAAGAGACAGAUUAUGUAACAUAAACAAGAAUGAGUGUGAUGUAACUGUUCAAGAAUAUUUAUUCACUCACUUAAUGUAACGUAACAGUUGAGACAAGCUUAUCAACCAAUUAGGGACAACAACUGACAAGAAAGAGAGAGAGAGAGAGAGAGAAAAAAAACAGAACACACAGGAUAAGACACAGAGACGCUCUUUGCUGGUUCGUCCACAAUAAGUUGUCGGCUCUCCUUUUCUCUUCUUCUUCUGGCUUUUUAUGGUGUUUGGCAAACAAACGAAAAGGUGCAUUCACCCUACUGAGCUGGAGUGUGAUUCAUUAAUGGAAAAAGAAGAAAGACUAAUCUGACAAAAAAAAAAAAACAACCUAUUAAUAAAUUGGUUUCUAAAUCCUAUUAAACAGAUGCACCUCUCUUAAAUAUUUCAUUAAUGCUUUAUAUGCUCUUCAACCUUCCAAUCCAUUAUUCAGCUGUUUUUUAAGUGUAAUAUUUAAUAUACACUUUUCUUUUAACUCUUCCACCAGGAUUAUCCUUUCAUUUUGAUAAGUGCAAUAUAUUGAUACAUGCUCUACAGUUUGCAAUUCCCAGACUCAUGUUUGUUUAUUUUAUACAGGGAAUAAUUAAGAACUGUAUACCCAAGUCGAAGCCUGGUAAUGAUUGUGUUUUCUCUUCAACUGUCACAACUUUCUCUUUCACCACCAAUUUUAUUUUGAAUCUGAUAAAGAUGUCUUCCUUUUUCCUCCUCAUUUCUUUGUACUUGCCAAUUGCAUUUUAUAGCUGUUACGCCUUAACUUCUUCAUUACAAUGUGGAAUAUUACAUUAUAUAGAAGAUAAUUUCAGCGCCUCCUUUGCUAGAUGAUCCACUUCCUCAUUUCCAUCUACGCCCACAUGUGCUGGAAUCCACAGGAAACAUAUCUUACUUCCUAAUGUAUUUACCCUGUAUAUACUUAAACAGAAUUUAAUACAGAAUAUCUUGUCUUGAGCAUCUCCCACUAAUCAGACUUGGUAAUACUGAGAAAGAAUCUGAGCAUAUCAUCACAUUCACUGGUCGAGAACUCUCCAUCCACCGUUACCAAUACCCUUUUACCAAUUUUAACUUGAUAAUGUGGGAUAUUGGCCUUGGCAUGGAGCCUUAUAACCCCCCCCCCCCCCCCCCCUUAAAAAAUACUUGGGAAGUGGAGUCCUCCUUGGGCUGGACUCAGGGACUGGAGCCUCUCUAGGCUAAACUUGGGGACUGGAGUACACAAUGAGGAACACCUGAAAUCAAUAAACAAUCAAAAUGAUAGUGAAACUGGGUCAUGGAGCAUGUGAGGGGAAGAAAACACAGGACUGACACUCACUCUCUGUCAUUCCAAACCUGCAAAUUUAAUUUUCAAAAAACCAAUUAAGAUAUUUUAAAUGAAAACAAAGUUUUCUGUCCUUCCAUCGACAGUCUACACAGCUAAGACUUUGACACUUCAAGAAGUUCAUAAAGAGAUCAAAAAAACUAAUCCAAAUGCAUUGAAAGAUUUAGUCCACAUUUUCUGAAGAGACUUGAUCGCUUUAUACAAUGAACAGAUUUUUUUUUCUUCUUCUCACAUUUAAAAAUUAAACAGGGAAUAUAAACAGAAAAACACAAAAUUUUUAAUAAACCACAUGGUACGUAUGGAUUAGUUCUCUAUAGAUUAGAUCUCUGUAUGAUAUUUUUAAAAUCUCAAAAUGGUGGAUGGUCAUUCAAGGGACAGAAAUCUUAUAUUUUAUGCAAAUAUCUUCAAUUGUGUUUCAGAGAUAACAAAAGUCUUGGGUGAGUAAAAAAUUGAAUUUUUUAAAUAACCAUGUAAUAAAAGAAUAUGGCCAUAUGCAUCUUGUGUCUGUUGACUUGUGCAUCACCCAAGAUGUGUGUUAAUGCUAGGUGUGAACAGAGCCACUGUGUGACUUCACAAUCAACUUAGCAGAAUGGUUCCUUAAAAAAGAUAUCAUUGACAUCAUUAUUUUUUUUUCAUCAAGAAGCCAAGUUCCUAGCUUCUAUCAAGACCUUAAAGGACCCUACUGAUCUCGGAAUCAGCUGUAAAGGAGGAUGAAAUCGAUGUAUAAGAAUAGGAAAGCAAUAUUGCAUAAAUUUGUCUCCUACUUCAUUUGAUUCCACCAUCACCACAAGGGACCUGGAAAAAUGACCUCCUAUCAAGCUGAAAACAUCUUCAAAAAGUAUCUUCAUGCCCUUUCAAACCACAUUUUUUGUGGUUGACCCCAUGCAAGGUUCAAAUGAAGUUGAGGACUCCAAACAGGCUGGCUACAAAUUUGGACAGUAUUUCAAGUAUUGCGUCGUAAUAGACUGUCAAAGAAAGACUGGGUUAACAUCAAGUGGCAACCCGGAAAAAUAACCCACACCUUCCAAAAAGAUUGUACCAGUUGUGGAGUCUUUGUGAUGCAGAUGGCCAAGAUGACGGUGAUGGAAUUACCGAACAUUCCAGAAAUGUUUGACAUUGACCCAUCAAAACAAUCUGUACAAAAUCUAAGAAGAGACAUGGCUGAGGAAAUUCUAAAUGGAUCAGGAAGAUUUCUGUUCCUACUGUGGAAAAGAGGACUUGCCAAAACCAGUGGAUGCUGUUUGGAUUCAGUGUGGAACAUGUGCAAGAUGGUUCCACACACAGUGCCUUGGAAUGACAGAAACACAAAUACCAAAGGGAAGUCGUGGCCUAAUGGUUAGAGGGUUGGACUCCCAAUCGAAGGGUUGUGAGUUCUAGUCUCGGGCCGGACGGAAUUGUGGGUGGGGGGAUUGCAUGAACGGCUCUCUCUCC